UGCAAAAUGACGGUGGGCAUGGAUAACAUAAACAAGCUCCGUUGGAAGUUGGUCAUGAUACUAUUUGGCUUUAAUUUUUAAAACAGAGUAAUAAAGUACUAACACAACAUAUAACUGUUUUAUCCAGGUUUUUAUCUUAAAAAGUGGUAAAUUUAGAAAAUGUUAACAUUGUCGCCAAUGGCAGAAUAAAUAGUACCGUUUUCCCUGAACUGGAAUUAUCAAUGUUUAAAACAACAUCUACAGACUCAACAUUCAUAUGCAAUACUCACACACUUCAGAAACAGGUGAUCACAAUAUUAGUACAUCAAUCCCAAGUAUCAAUAAAAUUGAGAAUGGAAAUGGGGAAUGUGUCAAAGAGACAACAACCCGACCAAAAUAAAAAAACACAACAGCAGAAGGUCACCAACAGGUCUUCAAUGUAGCGAGAAAUUCCCGCACCCGGAGGCGUCCUUCAGCUGGCCCCUAAACAAAUAUAUACUAGUUCAGUGAUAAUGAACGCCAUACUAAUUUCCAAAUUGUACACAAGAAACUAAAAUUUAAAUAAUACAAGACUAACAAAGGCCAGAGGCUCCUGACUUGGGACAGGCGCAAAAAAUGCGGCGGGGUUAAACAUGUUUGUGAGAUCUCAACCCUCCCCCUAUACCCCUAACCAGUGUAGAAAAGUAAAAGCAUAACAAUACGCACAUUAAAAUUCAGUUCAAGAGAAGUCCGAGUCUGAUGUCAGAAGAUGUAACCAAAGAAAAUAAACAAAAUGACAAUAAUACAUAAAUAACAACAGACUACUAGCAGUUAACUGACAUGCCAGCUCCAGACUUCAAUUAAACUGACUGAAAGAUUAUGAUUUCGAACAUCAGGCACAAUCCUGCCCGUAAGGGGUUUAGUAUCAUACCAUCAUAACAUAUAUGAGAAGAACAUAACCCGUGUCAUGCCAACAAAUGUACAUUUUUUCCCCACAGCACUUGCUAAAAUCAAUUUGAAACAAGCAUUUGGUUUACUUAUUAAAGUUAGCACACUUUGACACACUGAAUUUGUUAUAAAAUAUGACUUGGUAUGAAAUAUAUAUUAUUCCAGGUUGACAUAUACAUGUUUUGGUCAUUGUUGGUGUUUGUAUGUUUUAAUCGAAUGAUUUUAGUGAAAUAAUCAAUAAAUCUUAACGCCAGGUCACAAUGUACAACUUGCAAAAAUUACAAUUUAAAUAAUAUAAAUAGUUUUUUUAUACCCCAUAUUAAUUUUUGGUAUAACGUUGUCUGUUGUCAACAUGUCGGACACUAGCUCAAAAACAGUUUAAUCAAUAUUUAGAUUAUACUUGGUGAAUUGUUUAUCUAUUGACUAGAGCUCCAUUUUGGGUUUUUUUUAACAAAUUUCAUAUUAUAUGUUUCCUAGUUUUUGUUUUUUUUUCUUCUGUUUAUUAAUUUCUGUCCUCAUUACUUUAUAGAAUGCCUAAGAGGAAGAUAAGGUAGAAUGUGCCAUAUCACAGGAAAAGACGUGGAACUGGCAAACCAAAAUUAGACAAAGGGCAAACUGAAAUACAUGCACUUACGCCAGACAUCGCACAUGAUGAAGAUCUUUUGUCAUCUGAAACAGAAGAGCUUACAUGCACCAGUGUGGAUUCAGUCUCUUUGGAUCAUUCAUAUUUGUCUGAUAACCAGACAGUGGCAGAACUUUGUUUAGAUGAAGAAAUUGAUGUUAAUCAACAUAUUAAACUUGAAUGCAAAAAAGAAUGUGUAAUAUCUUAUUUAUAUGUUCACGGCAUCGAACUAAGUAGAGAACAUGACAUCUGGUUAGGAUUGCCAAGUGUGUAUGACAACAUAACAAGUAUUGAG
rnacentral:lncRNA from 1 species